GGUUGCCUAGUGGCUAGAGCGUUUGCCUCAGAAGCGGGAGGUCGUGGGUUUGAAUCCCGACCAAAUCCU